UACAGAGGGUGCAAGCGUUAAUCGGAAUUACUGGGCGUAAAGCGUGCGUAGACGGUUAUUUAAGUCAGGUGUGAAAGCCCCGGGCUCAACCUGGGAAUUGCAUUUGAGACUGAAUAGCUAGGGUGCGGAAGAGGGAAGCGGAAUUUCCGGUGUAGCGGUGAAAUGCGUAGAUAUCGGAAGGAACACCAGUGGCGAAAGCGGCUUCCUGGUCCAGCACCGACGUUCAGGCACGAAAGCCAGGGGAGCAAACGGG
rnacentral:rRNA from 1 species